AAAAGUCACUAUUCAUUUAACUUUUGUAAAAGAAUCAAAGCAUCUUCACUAUUCAUUCAGCUUUUGAAGAAGAAACAACGUGAUUACACAGCUUUGCCAGCCUUCUUCAGAGGACAGCGGGAUUCCCGGAUCUUUUUGGCAAGCCUCAUUCAGUCUCCUCGCUCUUUAUAAGAAUGACUCAUAUUCAGAAGAGGAACAUAGUUUUUAGAACUCAAUAGCUCAGUUCAAUAUCAUCUCUCUGCUCAUCCACAAAGGACAGAGAUUAUUUUCCAAACACUUGUAAUACCUAUAUUAUUCAGGAUGCUUGCGAGCUCCACCUGGUUUACUUGUUUCAUCUGCCAUUAGGCAACAUCUGUUUGUAAUCUGCAUUGCAAAAAAAUUUAAAAAUUGGCAGGACAGUCUUUUUCCCUUCAACCGGAUUGAAAGCCCCAUCAAGGUUUUUAUCAAGGCCCAUUGAUGGACCCUAUCCUCUUUUGUGUACGUAUCUUUCUCAUCUUAUUGAAUAUCGCACUCUUUUUAUAAAAAAAAUUAGUCAUUAUAAGUAAAAGUAUGAUCAAUUUUUAGAAAAUUCUAUUUUAUGAGCCCAUUAUAAAUUUCUCGCUCCACCACUAAACUUGCAAUCAUAUAUGAGCUUCAUAUGGGAACUUCAUUAGACUCAAUAUAUUUUAAUGAGUAUUUUCAAAAUACAAAUAAUGCUUGUUGAAAUUCAUGGUAACUUUUCCUUUCCCUUCAAGAUCAUUUAUUAAUUGAAUUAAAAUUCUUGUUAAAAUCAGUAUUUCAAAAUACAAAUAAUGCUUGUUCAAAUUCAUGAUAACUUUUCCUUUCCUUUCAAAUCCAUUUAUUAAUUGAAUUAAAAUUCUGGUAAAAAAACGUUGGCUGGCACUAUUGCAACCAUUCCUCUCUUCAUUUGAUUUUUUUUUUAAUUUUAUUAUUAUUAUAAGGAUGAGAAGGAUUCGAAAUUAUUACAAUAAUUAAAGGGAAGAGGAGUUUCGAACCCAACACGCAAGAUUAAAAACCUAACACUAAAUUAUAUAUGCACUAGAAUAUUAAACCACAUGCUUCAUAUUAUUAUUAUUGUGCCAAUUAUUUCGUUAAUUCUUCAACUUUAUAUACAUAGUAAAUCUCCAAAGUUUAUGAUUUUUGUUUCCUACACCGAAUGGAAGAUCCACCCUUUUCUUUUCAAAUUGAUCCAAUAUUGAUCGGAGUUCUUUUUGUAUGCUAUAAUUAUUCUCUCUCCAUUACAAAUUGACUAAUUUAAAUCUGGGGAAAUUAAACUUUAAAAAAACGAAAAUAAUUAAUCUACACAGAUUUGUAAUGAUCUUCAUUUCUUUUGGUAGGAAAUAACUGGAUAUGAUUCAUUCAAUUUCUAUUACUUUAUUCAUAUGCCAAUUAGAAAAUAAAAAAAAAAGCAAUAAAUACAAGACAAUGUAGGGAACGGUGGCAAGGUCAGCUUUCUGGGCAUAACAUUUGUGAAAUGGUGAACAUUGUUGGCAAAGGAUUAUACUGGUUUCUUGGUUACCUCCAACGUGUGGAUGCUAAACGGGUGAAUGAUCAAUAUAUAUAUAUAUAUAACGGAUUCAUCGUUAUCGUGACAUCUUUAUUCAUUAAUAAAUUGUUAUAUAAAGAAAAACUUACACAUGAUAACGCAUAUAAUUAAGCGCAUAAAUCUUACGUGACAAUAAACUCAUUCUACAUAUAACGUCUCAGGCUUGAUGGACUCACUUUGCUAAUGUUUUCAUUAAUUGGUUUAAUUCCUGUUAAUUUUGUAUUACGCAUUGUAGUGUUGGAUUCACAAACUUUUUAAUUCUCCACUUUCAAUUGAAUAAACAAGUGUGGUAUGUAUUUCAAACAAACAAGAUUGAACAUCUAAUUAAUGAUUUGUUCAUCUUCUUCUGGCAAGCAAGAAAAAACUAGUUAUGAGAUGAGGCCAAGUUUGAAUUGCGCGACAUAAACCAAAUUUUCCAAUCGCAAAUUUGGUGAUAAAUAAAUUAAUUUCAAUAAGUGAAAAACUCAAAUAGAUUACAUAAUUUGAUUUUUUUUUUUUUAAGGGGAUUAGCUCGUGGGAAAGCUAUAGUAGUCCACCUCUUCGGAGGUCGGAAAGACUUGCAGAGACAGUUCAGUCAUCAUCUGACUACCAUCGUAUGAUUCACUAUCGUUAAAAAUCAAACCUAUGACAAGGUGUGUGGAAUGCGAAUUUGAAAUUGGUGAAGGAUUUUUCAAAAUUUCCCCCUCCAUACAUAUUUAUAUUUAUCAAACCCUCCAUACAUAUAACAAUUGGAAAAUUAACUUAAUUAAUAUGGGGUAAAACAGUAGUCUACGAUUUUGGUCGCAAUUAAUUUGAAGAGUGAGAUGGAGAUCUUGGUGGUGUUGAUUUAAAAAGGAGGCCUCCUCAUCGGACGGUGUUGGUGAAUAGCGCCAUGCAGCAGUCAAAGGGUGUCAGUAGCAAUUAUUUGAGAAUCAAAAUUAAGAAAUGUGGUCAAGUUCUUCAAAUCUAGUUGAAUUUGCUAAACCACCACCUGUUAAAAGAGAGAGAAAAGAAGUUAUAAACAUUAUCAAAAUUGUAUCAAUCUUAACGAAGACAUCAAAAAACAAAUAUUGGAAAAGAAAAUGAAAAUUGUUUGAAAUCAAAAUCAAAAUCUCUAAUUGGGUGGCAUGAAAGGGAAAAGGGAGAGACUCUCAGCAACAAUAAAAAUGAGUAGCAUGGGAAAGAAUUCAUGUUAUGUCAUCUUCUUAAUUUUAUGAAGAAGAGAAGAUGGACAUAGAUUGUGAGAUCGCCCUCCCUACCACUCAUCUUCACUGACCUCUGAGAGAUUAUCUCUCAUUUCAACUUAGCAAGUUCUAAGAAUGUAUGUUGUGGUUACAUGGCCUUAAUUUAUAGAAACUCAGGGGCACACAGAUUCAUAAUUCAUGAACUUCAUGUCACUCUCGUAACGCUACCAAUCUCGAGAAAAACAUGUGCAUUCACGUGAUAAGAGAGAUGAAACGUUUAAAUUUGACUCGACAAUAAAAGAAAAUAAUCUAAGAGCCAUAAGGGUUGGUGAGUAAGUUGUCAGUUUCCUUUUUCUUAUGAGACCCAUCAGGACUGGUGACUAGAGGCCUGGUUUAAUGUACUUGGAUCUGAUAUCUCGUAGUUGGAUUCACCUUGCACAUUUUCCAGCCCAAAAAAUUUUCAACUAAUGUCCGACCUUAUCAUAAGCAUAGUUCAAAGCAUGUGAUAUUUUAUUGGAUAUCGUGCUGGAUUUUUAUCCAUGCCUCGACGGUUUGAUGUAGUAUACUGUAUAUGCAAUACAAGGAAAAAAAUAUUGUUCUCAA